UUGGAGGGCAAGUCUGGUGCCAGCAGCCGCGGUAAUUCCAGCUCCAAUAGCGUAUAUUAAAGUUGCUGCAGUUAAAAAGCUCGUAGUUGAAUUUCGGGACCAUCAUGUCGGUCGUGCCUCGGUACGUACUGGUAUUGGUGGUUUCUCCCUUCUGACGAACCAUGAUGUCAUUUAUUUGGUGUUGUGGGGAAUCAGGACUGUUACUUUGAAAAAAUUAGAGUGUUUAAAGCAGGCUCACGCUUGAAUACAUUAGCAUGGAAUAAUGAAAUAGGACGUUUGAUUCUAUUUUGUUGGUUUCUAGGAUCGACGUAAUGAUUAAUAGGGAUAGUUGGGGGCAUUAGUAUUCAAUUGUCAGAGGUGAAAUUCUUGGAUUUAUUGAAGACUAACUACUGCGAAAGCAUUUGCCAAGGAUGUUUUCAUUAAUCAAGAACGAAAGUUAGGGGAUCGAAGACGAUCAGAUACCGUCGUAGUCUUAACCAUAAACUAUGCCGACUAGGGAUCGGACGAUGUUAAUUUUUUAAUGACUCAUUCGGCGCCUUACGGGAAAC
rnacentral:rRNA from 1 species